GGAUAAACUACAGGAAUUGGUUGUCUCCUAUACCAUAUGGAUUCUGGGAAUUUAACUCAGGUUGUCAGGCUCGGUAGCAAGUUCCCUUCCUCUCUGAGGUGUCUCCACACUCCACAGCCUCGCCAUUUGCCAUUUCCCUUUGCUUACUGAAGACUCUCACCUACAAGUUCCUGGUACCACAGAUAGCAUCAGCCUUUCUGUUUUAUAUCUCUGCCCUCCCUCCAUCAGGCUGCUGACUGUGGGGAAUGUGCUAAGUUGGGAUGGCUGCUCCCUCCUUGACCCUCACAGACAGAGAGGAACAUGAAGAGCAAAAUCUGUAUGGUAUCUGGAAGCGAGGGCGUUAAGGAACAAGGCUGACAGGUUGGUUCCGGGACAAGGAAGUACGGAGUCAUAUAGCCCUGUGUGUGGUCCACACAUAAAAGGGACAUAGGGUAUUGUUGCUGGGGUGGGGGUGGGAACAGGUUGCUAUUUUAAGUAAAAUGGUCACGCAUGACCUCCUUGCGAAGGUCACAUUUGAGCAGAAAGCUUGGCGACCAAAGGAACAGCUUUGGAGAUCAUCUGGCAAAAGAAUAUUCUGUCCAAGUAACCAAGUGAAUUCCACCCUCUUUCCAGACUCACCCCCCACACCCCGAGAAACGGUAUUACCAUCCCACAUCUGGACCCUCUUCUCGACAGUGUCAGCUAACCUGCUCUAUGCCCGCUUUCCCUUCCGAUCGUCGGGUUCUGCAGGAGUCAGCACAUCUGUGAUUACUGGAAAGCCUUAGCAGUAAUUUUUCCCCCCUAAGCCUUCCUUUCCACUUUAGAGAAAAUUGCAAAUCAAACCAGACAGCCCGAUAAGAUGAUGUAAACUUUAAAAAGUAAUUUUGAUUCCGUUAAACUCUACAUCUGCAAUAAAUAUGAAAUGAGAUUUACUGCUCGGGACAAUGGCACAAGCAAGGGUAGAAAACAAAGAGCAGUGUCCUGGUAACUGGAAAAUUCAGUUAUCCCAAGAAGCCUGCUCUCAGAGUGUCAGAGAUGACAGUGAAGGCUGUUGUUACCACGUUGGGACCUUGGCCUUUGUGUAUGAGUAAGGG
ensembl:lncRNA